rnacentral:rRNA from 1 species
UACGUAGGGGGCAAGCGUUGUCCGGAAUUACUGGGCGUAAAGGGCGUGCAGGCGGUUUGUUAAGUGCAGGGUGAAAGCUCCCGGCUCAACUGGGAGAGGUCCUUGCAUACUGGCGAACUCGAGGGAGGCAGAGGAAAGUGGAAUUCCCGGUGUAGUGGUGAUAUGCGUAGAUAUCGGGAGGAACACCUGUGGCGAAGGCGGCUUUCUGGGCCUUACCUGACGCUGAGACGCGAAAGCGUGGGGAGCGAACCGG